CUUGACAUGUACGGAAGUCCGCUGAGAGGUGGAUGUGCCCGAAAGGGAGCCGUAACACAGGUGCUGCAUGGCUGUCGUCAGCUCGUGUCGUGAGAUGUUGGGUUAAGUCCCGCAACGAGCGCAACCCUUGUCCCUAGUUGCUACGCAAGAGCACUCCAGGGAGACUGCCGGUGACAAACCGGAGGAAGGUGGGGAUGACGUCAAGUCCUCAUGGCCCUUAUGGGUAGG
rnacentral:rRNA from 1 species